GCAAUAAUAUACAGUGCCUGAGUUAAGAGGUGACUGUUAUCACAGAUAUCAAGCUCUUCUGGAAGUUCUCUGUUUCCUGCACUGUUUCUGGUUUGGUGCAGCCCUGGACAAUGUCAGGGAUGUCGUGUCACCACUUGAAGAUCUCAGGAAGGACAAAUCAAUUUUGAAGGAUGCCAAUGCUGUACCACAUUAUACCAUUUAAACCAUGUCACUCAUCCAAAAGGAAAAAUGCCCGAUAAUCUGUAAUAUGAAGCUAACUAAUUUAUCCACAGAGGCAACACUACAUGCUUGACUGAUAAGCAGCUUCUGUCUCCUGUGGCCAAUGGGACUGAUAACUCCAGGCUUUGUGACGGACCAAAUCCUUGCUCUCCCCAGUUCCUUGGGGCUGAAGGUGCUCACCCACACUGACAGUUUAGACCCCCUGGCAUCGCGCCGAGGAGCUGCGGAACCAGAGUACACCUCGGGCCCAGCUGGGUGGCCAUCACUCGCCCUCCCAGGGUCCCCGCGGUGAAGGCUCUGUGAGGGCCGCGGCUGCGGGGGCCACACAGGCGUCACCGCGGUUGGGAUGGAUCCACAGGGAUGUGUGUCCCUUGUGACUGAUGCCGGGGACAUGACUGCUGUGCGGGAUGGACCUCUGGG